AUUGAACGCUGGCGGCAGGCCUAACACAUGCAAGUCGAGCGGAUGAAGGGAGCUUGCUCCUGGAUUCAGCGGCGGACGGGUGAGUAAUGCCUAGGAAUCUGCCUGGCAGUGGGGGAUAACGUCCGGAAACGGGCGCUAAUACCGCAUACGUCCUGAGGGAGCCAGUGGGGGCUCUUCGGAUCUCACGCUAUCAGAUGAGUCUAGGUCGGAUUGGCUGGUUGGGGGGGUAAAGGCCUACCAAGCCGACGAUCGGUAACUGGUCUGAGAGGAUGAUCGGACACAUGGGAACGGAGACACGGUCCAGACUCCUACGGGAGGCACAAGUGGGAAACAUUGGACAAGGGGCGAAAGCCUGAUCCAGCCAGGCCGCGUGUGUGAAGAAGGUCUUCGGAUUGUAAAGCACGUGAAGUUGGGAGGAAGGGCAGUAAGUGAAGACCUUGCUGUAUUGACGGUACCAACAGAAUAAGCACCGGCUAACUACGUG
rnacentral:rRNA from 1 species